GCGGAGGAAAAGAAACAACAGGGAUUGCCCUAUUAACGGCGAGUGAAGCGGCAACAGCUCAAAUUUGAAAUCUGGCUUCGGCCCGAGUUGUAAUUUGUAAAGGAAAAUUUAGGCGCGGCACCUUCUGAGUCCCCUGGAACGGGGCGCCAUAGAGGGUGAGAGCCCCGUAUAGUUGGAUGCCUAGCCUGUGUAAAUCUCCUUCGACGAGUCGAGUAGUUUGGGAAUGCUGCUCAAAAUGGGAGGUAAAUUUCUUCUAAAGCUAAAUAUUGGCCAGAGACCGAUAGCGCACAAGUAGAGUGAUCGAAAGAUGAAAAGCACUUUGAAAAGAGGGUUAAAUAGCACGUGAAAUUGUUGAAAGGGAAGCGCUUGUGACCAGACUUGCGCCGGGCGGAUCAUCCGGUGUUCUCACCGGUGCACUCCGCCCGGCUCAGGCCAGCAUCGGUUCUCGUGGGGGGAUAAAGGCCCUGGGAACGUAGCUCCUCCGGGAGUGUUAUAGCCCAGGGUGUAAUGCCCUCGCGGGGACCGAGGUUCGCGCAUCUGCAAGGAUGCUGGCGUAAUGGUCAUCAGCGACCCGUCUUGAAACACGGACCAAGGAGUCAAGGUUUUGCGCGAGUGUUUGGGUGUAAAACCCGCACGCGUAAUGAAAGUGAACGUAGGUGAGAGCUUCGGCGCAUCAUCGACCGAUCCUGAUGUAUUCGGAUGGAUUUGAGUAGGAGCGUUAAGCCUUGGACCCGAAAGAUGGUGAACUAUGCUUGGAUAGGGUGAAGCCAGAGGAAACUCUGGUGGAGGCUCGCAGCGGUUCUGACGUGCAAAUCGAUCGUCAAAUCUGAGCAUGGGGGCGAAAGACUAAUCGAACCAUCUAGUAGCUGGUUACCGCCGAAGUUUCCCUCAGGAUAGCAGUGUUGUCUUCAGUUUUAUGAGGUAAAGCGAAUGAUUAGGGACUCGGGGGCGCUUUUUAGCCUUCAUCCAUUCUCAAACUUUAAAUAUGUAAGAAGCCCUUGUUACUUAAUUGAACGUGGGCAUUCGAAU
rnacentral:rRNA from 1 species